GACGAACGCUGGCGGCGCGCCUAACACAUGCAAGUCGAACGAGCGAGAGGAGGUUUACUUUCUCAAGCGAGUGGCGAACGGGUGAGUAACGCGUGAGGAACCUGCCUCAAAGAGGGGGACAACAGUUGGAAACGACUGCUAAUACCGCAUAAGCCCACGACCCGGCAUCGGGUAGAGGGAAAAGGAGCAAUCCGCUUUGAGAUGGCCUCGCGUCCGAUUAGCUAGUUGGUGAGGUAAUGGCCCACCAAGGCGACGAUCGGUAGCCGGACUGAGAGGUUGAACGGCCGCAUUGGGACUGAGACACGGCCCAGACUCCUACGGGAGGCAGCAGUGGGGAAUAUUGCACAAUGGGGGAAACCCUGAUGCAGCGACGCCGCGUGGAGGAAGAAGGUCUUCGGAUUGUAAACUCCUGUUGUUGAGGAAGAUAAUGACGGUACUCAACAAGGAAGUGACGGCUAACUACGUG
rnacentral:rRNA from 1 species